UGACGUUUCCCAUUCACUUUUCAGUUGUAGCGCAACAGCAGAGGACUACGGAACAAUAUUUCGGACUAACUUUGAUCGAAAACCACUAAAUUAAUGUCUCAUAUGGCUACAUUUCUUAAGAAGUGUGGGUUUUAUUUCGCCUUCGACGAUAUUAUCGGACUUUUUUUCGGUUCAAGCGAAGUUAUUAGCAGUUGAAAGCAAAGCUCGCGAAUAGCCUAUACUCGCUAGAAAUAGUCUAGCCGAUAUCUAAAAUGAAUAAUCUUAUUUUGUGGUUCAAUUAUAAUUUAAAGCUGAUUUCAAGGAGAAUGUGUAUAGAUUUACUUGUUUUUUUUUUCGUCCAGGAGACGGAGCAGGCAUGGAAUUCCAAUUGCUGCAUGCGCAAGUCUGGAAAAUGGAAGUCACCGCCUCCAGGAGGUUGAUCGGUUGGAAAUUCUCCAUGCAGUUUUCCCUUUCCCAAUUCCAGAUAAAACUACUUAACACAAUUAAUAUGUUCAAACUCAUAUGGAAAACUAACAGCGAAACAACUGGCUGUUUACAAUGCAUACAAUGCAGAGUUGGACUUGUAUGUUUCUUAUUAUUUGCAGUAUGCAGAGCGUGUGUCAUUGCUGUGACUGGAUCCGACACCACUACCGUCACUUGAGCGCAUAAUUCCAUUCUCUGCUGGACCAGAUGGGAGGAGAUAUCACAAAGCAGAAUGCCCCUGUCCUUUUCUCAACAUCACUUUACAGACCCAUAGAUGCCGAGUUUGAGGACAAAGUCAGAUUCCGGAACGAGGUCAUCUAUAAAAUCACAAAACUGUUUGAUGGGAAUAAGAAGUCCGUCACCUGGGACAAGAAAAACCUGGACGAUUUACUUAAAAUUCUAGAAAAAUAAUUUGAAAACCUUAAUUCCUGUGUAAGUAACGGGUCUAUUUAAAGUAUAAUCCCUGUUCAUGUCAGGGUUGUCCAAUCCCGUUUAUGUUGAGUUACCCUCCUGUAAGUUUUCGCUCCAACCCCAGUUGUAACUAACCUGGUUAAGUUUAUCAACUACCUAAUUAAUCAGGUGUGGUAGAUUAGGGUUGGAGUGAAAACCUACAGGAAUGUAGUUCUCCAGGAACAGGGUUGGAGAGCCCUGGUUUAGCUGUAGCCUACUGACUCUACAAGUGGAGAAAUGGACUUAUAAAGGACAUAUAAUGUGUUCAACUUUUUCCACAUUUUGUUACCUUACAGACUUUUUCUAAAAUUGAUUAAAUGGAUUUUUCCCCUCUUCAGUUUAUACACAAUACCCGAUAAUGACAAAGCAAAAACCGUGUUUUAGAUAUUUUUUCAAACAUAAUAACAAUACAAAACUGAAAUAUCACAUUUACGUAAGUAUUCAGACCCUUUACUCAGAACUUUGUUGAAGCACCUUUGGCAGUGAUUACAGGCUUGAGUCUUCUUGGCUAUCAUGCUACAAGCCUGGCACAUCUGUAUUUGAGGAGUUUCUGCCAUUCUUCUCUGCAGAUCCUCUCAAGUUCUAUCCGGUUGGAUAGGGAGCGUCGCUGUACAGUGAUUUUCAGGUCACUCUAGAGAUGUUUGUUCAUUUUAGCGUAAGUCUGGGCUCUUGCUGGGACACUCAAGGACAUUCAGAGACUUGUCCCAAAGACACUCCUGCAUCGUCUUGGCUGUAUGCUUAGGGUAUUUGUCCUGAUGGAAGGUGAACCCUCGCCCCAGUCUGAGGUCCUGUGCGCCCUGGAGCAGGUUUUCAUCAAGGAUAUCUCUGUACUUUGCUCUGUUCAUCGUUUACCUUGAUCCUGACUAGUCUCCCAGUCCCUGCCAAUGAAAAACAUCCCCACAGCAUGAUGCUGCCACCACCAUACUUAACUAUAGGGAUGGUGCAAGGUUUCCUCCAGAUGUGAUGCUUGGCAUUCUGGCCAAAUAUGUUUCAUUAGACCAGAGACACUUGUUUCUCAUGGUCUGAGAGUCCUUUUGUCAGGGAGGUGCCUUUUUGCAAGCUCCAAGCGGGCUGCAAUGUGCCUUUUACUGAGGAGUGUCAUCCGUCUGGCUAUUCUACCAGAGAUGGUUGUCUUUCUGGAAGGCUUUCUUAUCCCCACAGUAGAAAUCUGAAGCUCUGUCAGAGUGACCAUCGGGUUCUUCGUUAGCUAUGCAGACCAGUGCACCAUAACCAAUCAGAGCUGCAUUAGACAUAUUGUCACGCCCUGGUCAAAAUAUAUUAUGUUUGUCUUUAUUUAUUUGGUCAGGCCAGGGUGUGACAUGGGUUUUUGUGGUGUGUUUUGUCUUGGGGGUGUAUAGCAUAGUCUAUGGCUGCCUGAGGCGGUUCUCAAUCAGAGUCAGGUGAUUAUUGUUGUCUCUGAUUGGGAACCAUAUUGAGGCAGCCAUAUUCUUUGAGUAAUUCGUGGGUGAUUGUUCCUGUCUCUGUGUUUAUGUUCACCAGAUAGGCUGUAUAGGUUUUCACGUUCGUUUAUUGUUUUUUUGUUAAGUUAUUUCAUGUCCAGUUCACUUCAUUAAAGAAUAUGAA